rnacentral:rRNA from 1 species
AGUGAACGCUGGCGGUAGGCCUAACACAUGCAAGUCGAACGGCAGCACAGUAAGAGCUUGCUCUUACGGGUGGCGAGUGGCGGACGGGUGAGGAAUACAUCGGAAUCUACUUUUUCGUGGGGGAUAACGUAGGGAAACUUACGCUAAUACCGCAUACGACCUACGGGUGAAAGCAGGGGAUCUUCGGACCUUGCGCGAUUGAAUGAGCCGAUGUCGGAUUAGCUAGUUGGCGGGGUAAAGGCCCACCAAGGCGACGAUCCGUAGCUGGUCUGAGAGGAUGAUCAGCCACACUGGAACUGAGACACGGUCCAGACUCCUACGGGAGGCAGCAGUGGGGAAUAUUAGGCAAUGGGCGCAAGCCUGAUACAGCGAUACCGCGUGGGUGAAGAAGGCCUUCGGGUUGUAAAGCCCUUUUGUUGGGAAAGAAAAGCAGCAGGUUAAUACCCCGCUGUUCUGACGGUACCCAAAGAAUAAGCACCGGCUAACUUCGUG